rnacentral:rRNA from 1 species
AACCCUAAAUACUCUCUAGUGACCGAUAGUGAACCAGUACCGUGAGGGAAAGGUGAAAAGCACCCCGGGAGGGGAGUGAAAUAGAACCUGAAACCGUGUGCCUACAACAAGUUCGAGCCCGUUAAUGGGUGAGAGCGUGCCUUUUGUAGAAUGAACCGGCGAGUUACGAUAUGAUGCGAGGUUAAGUUGAAGAGACGGAGCCGUAGGGAAACCGAGUCUUAAUAGGGCGCAUUAGUAUCAUGUCGUAGACCCGAAACCAUGUGACCUACCCAUGAGCAGGUUGAAGGUGAGGUAAAACUCACUGGAGGACCGAACCAGGGCACGUUGAAAAGUGCUUGGAUGACUUGUGGGUAGCGGAGAAAUUCCAAACGAACUUGGAGAUAGCUGGUUCUCUCCGAAAUAGCUUUAGGGCUAGCGUCGAUGUUAAGUCUCUUGGAGGUAGAGCACUGUUUGGGUGAGGGGUCCAUCCCGGAUUACCAAUCUCAGAUAAACUCCGAAUGCCAACGAGAUAUAAUCGGCAGUCAGACUGCGAGUGCUAAGAUCCGUAGUCGAAAGGGAAACAGCCCAGACCACCAGCUAAGGUCCCAAAAUAUAUGUUAAGUGGAAAAGGAUGUGGGGUUGCACAGACAACUAGGAUGUUAGCUUAGAAGCAGCUAUUCAUUCAAAGAGUGCGUAAUAGCUCUCUAGUCGAGUGACCCUGCGCCGAAAAUGUACCGGGGCUAAAACAUAUUACCGAAGCUGUGGAUACCUUUAUAGGUAUGGUAGGAGAGCGUUCUAUGUGCGAAGAAGGUGUACCGUGAGGAGUGCUGGAGCGCAUAGAAGUGAGAAUGCCGGUAUGAGUAGCGAAAGACAGGUGAGAAUCCUGUCCACCGUAAGACUAAGGUUUCCAGGGGAAGGCUCGUCCGCCCUGGGUUAGUCGGGACCUAAGGAGAGACCGAAAGGUGUAUCCGAUGGACAACAGGUUGAUAUUCCUGUACUAGAGUAUAUAGUGAUGGAGGGACGCAGUAGGCUAACUAAACCAGACGAUUGGAAGUGUCUGGCCAAGCAGUGAGGUGUGAUAUGAGUCAAAUGCUUAUAUCUAUAACAUUGAGCUGUGAUGGGGAGCGAAGUUUAGUAGCGAAGUUAGUGAUGUCACACUGCCAAGAAAAGCUUCUAGCGUUAAUUAUACUCUACCCGUACCGCAAACCGACACAGGUAGUCGAGGCGAGUAGCCUCAGGUGAGCGAGAGAACUCUCGUUAAGGAACUCGGCAAAAUGGCCCCGUAACUUCGGGAGAAGGGGCGCUGACUUAUGGUCAGCCGCAGUGAAUAGGCCCAAGCAACUGUUUAUCAAAAACACAGCUCUCUGCUAAAUCGUAAGAUGAUGUAUAGGGGGUGACGCCUGCCCGGUGCUGGAAGGUUAAGAGGAGUGCUUAGCGUAAGCGAAGGUAUGAAUUGAAGCCCCAGUAAACGGCGGCCGUAACUAUAACGGUCCUAAGGUAGCGAAAUUCCUUGUCGGGUAAGUUCCGACCCGCACGAAAGGCGUAAUGAUUUGGGCACUGUCUCAACGAGAGACUCGGUGAAAUUUUAGUACCUGUGAAGAUGCAGGUUACC